AAUUUGGCACUAGAAUCAGUUCUCACAUCUUCGAUCUGCACACUCUUUAAUUUGUCAGACAAAUGAUCAAUAUUGCAAUUUGCUUCGGUGAAAUGUGUUUGGAGAUUAGUGUUCCGGGCUUCGAUACUUUGGUUGAGGAUGUGAAUGUGUGAAUGCAGCUCAUCGGUUUCUGAUCUUAAUCUCUUUACCAAUGCAGUCUGGGAAGAGACUGUAGUUUCCAAUGUGACAACCUUGUUUACAAGUUCAUCAAUUUUCUCUGCUAAUUGGACUCAGUUUCUUCUUCAGCUUCCUCAUCAUGGACAUUUUCCUCUGGGAGAAAUUCCUUUUUGAGGUCUCUUGGCAAGACUUAAUAGCUGUAUCUGCCAUGAGAGAUCGAGCUUCGUUGUCUUCAAUAACAGUGCCAAUGCCGAAUUCAUCUUUUUUCACUAAUCAACAGGUGUUAACCAAUAUGAAGCAAAAUGAAGAAUAGCAUUGAAGGUAAAAAGAAAGAACCCAUUACAGAUCAAUCCAAACCCAGAUAAGAACCUGAUUUUUUUUUCAGUUCAUUAAUCUAACAAUCCGAUCAAACUUGAUCUAGAUUGUAAAAAGUAAAGAAGAGUAAAUACCUUGGAG